rnacentral:tRNA from 1 species
GGGGAUGUAGCUCAUUGGUAGAGCACUUGCCUUUUAGGUAUGAGGGCCCUGGGUUCCGUCCCCA